rnacentral:rRNA from 1 species
GACGAACGCUGGCGGCGUGCUUAACACAUGCAAGUCGAACGAUGAAGCGGUGCUUGCACCGUGGCUUAGUGGCGAACGGGUGAGUAAUACGUGAGUGACCUACCUUUGACUCUGGGAUAAGCCUGGGAAACUGGGUCUAAUACCGGAUACGACCAAUCUCUGCAUGGGGUGUUGGUGGAAAGCGUUAUGGAGUGGUUUUAGAUGGGCUCACGGCCUAUCAGCUUGUUGGUGAGGUAAUGGCUUACCAAGGCGACGACGGGUAGCCGGCCUGAGAGGGUGACCGGCCACACUGGGACUGAGACACGGCCCAGACUCCUACGGGAGGCAGCAGUGGGGAAUAUUGCACAAUGGGCGCAAGCCUGAUGCAGCGACGCCGCGUGAGGGAUGACGGCCUUCGGGUUGUAAACCUCUGUUAGCAUCGAAGAAGCGAAAGUGACGGUAGGUGCAGAGAAAGCGCCGGCUAACUACGUG